UGUGUAAAAUUAAAAGUUAUCAAAUUUAACUUUUGAAAAAAAAUUGGAAAACAGUUGAAGAACAAUUGCUUCUGAGUUUAAGAAACAGAACAUCAGAAGUGUCACUGCCAAACUAUAAACUCCUGUUAAGAGGACUAAACUCCUUUAUAGAAAGGACUAUGGUGCUGCUGGUAAGAUCUGAAACAUCACUGUGACUUAAUGGAAAGUAAUCACCUUUUGGUAGAAAUCACAUUAAUGUUCCUAACUGAUACUUAUAAAGUGAACCAAUCUGCUGUGCUUAAAUGAAAAAUACAAUUAUCCACAUACAAAGCAGUGUGUUGAAAAUAUAGAUUUAUCCCCCUGUAUGUUUUCUGUAACUUUUUACUAGAUGGCAACAUUUGCUGUAUCUAACCUGGUUACUAUAUAAGGCACAAAAAGAGCUCAGAAGAUAAGACUGAACAACUGCCAUUUUUCUUGCUUGAAGAUCUUCAGUACCACAAGAGUGGGCCCACUAUUUACUCCUGAGCAGUCACUGUCCUUGUAGUUGUAAUUUUGUGCUUGGGUAUUCUCCAAAGCCUCUUGUUCCUUUGAAAAUUAUGUAUUUUCAAACAUCGGUGUUCUGGUCCUUGGAUCAUGGCUAUACCAUGCCUCCUGGAGUUUCAGUUAAUGUGGAGCUUUCAGAACUGUGAACUGUUGUCUCCACAUCUGAUGCUGAAGCUCGAAGCCUAAGGCACAAGCAGUUAGGAAGGGAAGGUCAUAAGCAGGCUGGAACCCACAAGCAUGAGCUGGAACCCUGCAAAGAUGGACUGAAACCCUGUUUGUUCUUGUUGCCUCUGACCCUAGUGAUGAGUGUGUCCUGCAGAAGCCAGGCCCUUCAUCGUGGAGUUAACCUGACACCUGGCCCAGGAGUCAGAGGCGCUGAAGGAGGAUUCAGGGCAGGUGGAUCGAGUUUGGGCCCAGAUGCUGCUCAAUACCAUGACAGUGAGCCAUGAGCUCAGCAACAGUUUGUGUGAGCUACAGAAUGGCUGCAUCACUUCUGCUGCUCCAAGAAGCUCACACAGAGAAAAAGUAAAUCCCUUCGUAAGAAGCUGAGAUAACAGAAUGAGGAAACUGGUCCUAGGCCAGAAAAGAGGAAUGUUCUCAGGUGAAGCGCCAAGUAUGUCACUGAAAGCCCAGUGGAGUUAAGUGUGCAAAGUCAGUCUGAACAUAUGCUGUAAUGGAUUUGACCUCGAAUAGCACUACAAAGAGAAAUUGCAGAUAACCAUCUGAACUGACUUCUGAAGCUUGUAGUUCUGGCUCCUGAGAUACAGAGAGAAAAGUGAGACCAAACAGGUGGGAGCAAACAACUCAGAGAGACCAGAAUGAAUACGAGUCUAACUUUAAAAGUAAAUAAAAUUAAAUAAAAAUGAUUUAUUCUAUAGCUCUUUGUCUUUUAUUGGUUCCCACACAAUGUCCACACAAUAAACAG
rnacentral:lncRNA from 1 species